GAGUUCAAGAGUACGUGAAACCGUUUAGGGGUAAACCUGAGAAACCCGAAAGGUCGAAGGAAGAAAUUCAUUCGCGUCUCGUCGUCGGCGGGAAGCGGUCGCGUGACGAAAACGACUUCGUGUCGUUUUCGCGCCUUUCGUUUUUCGAACCGGUGACGAACGCGUGCACUUUUCUUCUGGUAGGACGUCGCGAUCCGUUGGGUGUCGGUCUAAGACUCGCGGUGGAGCCCGCCCGUCGUCUCGUACGUACGGACGGACCCGCGUGUUCCGGCCGACCCGCUCGACGGUAUACGAAUGGUCGAAGGCCGCUCUUCGGAGCGUCCGGCUCGCGACAAGCGCGCCCGUCACGUCGGUAAUCGGACCUAGUGCCGUUUCCGACACCGGGCGACUGUUGGUCGCGAAGUUCUCGGACAGACCUUUAUUUAAAGACCGAUCUGCGACGCUAUAGCUUUGGGUACUUUCAGGACCCGUCUUGAAACACGGACCAAGGAGUCUAGCAUGUGCGCGAGUCAUUGGGAAUUACUAAACCUAAAGGCGUAAUGAAAGUGAAGGUCUUCCUUGCGGAGACCGAGGGAAGACGAGCGGUUACACCCUUAAAAGUGGCCGUUCCGCAUUCCCGGGGCGUCUCGUUCUCAUCGCGAGAAGAGGCGCACCACGAGCGUACACGCUGGGACCCGAAAGAUGGUGAACUAUGCCUGGUCAGGACGAAGUCAGGGGAAACCCUGAUGGAGGUCCGUAGCGAUUCUGACGUGCAAAUCGAUCGUCGGAACUGGGUAUAGNNNNNNNNNNNNNNNNNNNNNNNNNNNNNNNNNNNNNNNNGGGCGAAAGACUAAUCGAACCAUCUAGUAGCUGGUUCCCUCCGAAGUUUCCCUCAGGAUAGCUGGCGCUCGUUGCGUACGAGUCUCAUCCGGUAAAGCGAAUGAUUAGAGGCAUUGGGGUCGAAACGACCUCAACCUAUUCUCAAACUUUAAAUGGGUGAGAUCUCCGGCUUGCUCGAAACUCUCGAUGAAGCCGCGAGAAACGGAUCAGAGUGC
rnacentral:rRNA from 1 species